rnacentral:lncRNA from 1 species
UUUAGAGCAAAUCUGAAAUGGGUUAAAUUGUUUAUCAGGUCAAGAUCUAUCUGCCCUGAAAUUUUCAGAUGAAUCGGACAACCCGUUGUCAGGUUGCUGCCCUGAAUUGGUAAUUUUAAGGAAAUUUUGCCGUUUUUUGUUAUUAUCUUGAAUAUUAUUAUAGAUAGAGAUAAACUGUAAACAUCAAUUAUGUUCAACAAAAUAAGA